UCACUGCCUAACUGCUUGCUCAACGGAGAUGAAAGGGGCUGGUAAACAAGGCCAUUACCAGCCAUCAAUUUAAUGCUCAGAAGACAUCAGCUCGAGGCUCUGGUCCGCAAUCCUCUUUCCUAUUUCCCCUUCUCAGACCCUAAAAGGAACGUGUGCAAGUCCCCCGACAGCACACUGGGAAGAGCCAGCAUCAGGAACAGGCCGUGUGCGUGGUGUUAUGCAGCCGGAGCAGGUGCUGGAAAUGAGAGACAUUCUCAUCUGAGUGCAAGAAAGGCACCGACCGCGUGCCCAGAUCUGUGCUAGGAGGUCCUCACAUUAUGAUCCAAACAACAACAACAACAACAACACUGGAUUUAGAUCUGGACCUGCCACUUCUUGGCCAUGACAUUUUGAGCAAGCAACACAUUUUCUUCCUGAUGCCUCCGUUUUCAAACCUCUGGAAAGGAGGAUGCAGACCAGAAGAAUGUAGCUUCCUGACAACACAAGAGGCCGGGGAGACCGGCACACGGAACAGAAUCCGUGGGAGCAGCGCGAGCUGCGGCGAUGUGCUCCCCGCCCAGCCUCUGCGAGGCCGGUACUGCUGCGCGCCCUUCAAGGACGGGGCGCCUAGGGGGGACCUGCUGUACGGAACCGAGUCCGGCCCGCAGCCCCCUAGGCAAGGGUCCGGGUCCUCCAGGGGCUGGACUUCCCUCCAGUCUCCUCUCCCCUCUCUGUCCCCAAGGAUUCACUUGCCCUGUCCUUUCCGACCCCCGUCCAGACCUCUUUCCUGAGCCCCCCGCCUCGCGUCCCGCAGGACGGACCUGGCGCCCCGGUCCCCACCCCUCCCACCCCGCAGAGGAGAAGGUUGGGCGACGGAAAACGGGCUGGGAGCCCAGAUGUUUGGGAUCGCGUUCUGCUUCCGCCAGUCACGCACUUGCCAUGUGACCUUGGGCGGUUCAAGUCUCUUGUCUGGACUUAUUUCUAAAAAUCGGAUUCGUCCUGAACCGCUCGCAGGCCGCGACAGGUGCAGCAGCUUGACAGGGAUAAAUCAGGGCACCGCGCAGGUGGGAGCGGCCCUCCCCUCCCCGAAGCCCGCGGUGCCCCCUCGGCCUCCCCCGCAGCCCCAGGCCGGCUCCAGCCCUUUGCGCCCGCCUUUUCCCUGCGCCCCGGGAGCUCACCUGCAGGCAGGCUCCGCCGAGGGCCGCGGCCGGGAACCGGCGCCUCAAGGACACUCUGGCCACCGCUGCCAUCUUGGCUUCUAACGGCGGGCCCCACCCCUUAACCCCGAGGUCGCUCUGCGCCCGCGUCCCACCGAGCACCGCGGCGCCGGGCCAAAGUCCACCCGGGAUCCGCUAGCCUCUUCCGAGCCGCAGAGAGGGAGGCAACUUCCGGUUCCCCGGGCGGGGGAGGGAAGGCCAAGAAGGCCGAGGCGAGCAUGCGCAGUAGCGGACUGCCCGGCGCAUGCCCAGUUGGCCCCCCCGCGUUUUUAAGGUGACCUUCCCAGAAGGGGGCGGAGUCAGAGAGGGCUGGCGGUAGAAGGGGUGGGGCUAAGGCCAUGAGGGGGCGGGGCCAUCCAAUCCGAGUUCUGUCCGGAUGUUAAGCCCUUUCUUUCUGAAAGUUUCUCAGUUCUAUCAUUCAUUUCUGUCGCUUAGUGGGUUUAGUCAGACAUUGUCAGACACAGAGAGGUUUGCCCGAGACUGUCCAGGUUUCAGCACCGAAUCCCGAGUCCCGGGCCCAGAGAAACCCCACAUUCCCAGACAAAUCGGGAGGGUUGCUGAAUGAACCCAGGGGAGUUCAAAGAAGACCGACAAAGGUGUUAUCCAUUCAUUAAAAAAUAUGUAUGGAGGCCCAGCCGGUGUGGUCAGUGGUUGAGUGUCUACCCAU